AGCAUCCGUAGCCGGUUGCAUAAGUUUUCGGUUAAAUCUAUGCGCUCAACGUAUAGGCCGCCGAAAAUACUGUGCAGCUAGGGAGUGGGAGAGGUACACGGUACUCAGUAGGAAGGGGUAAAAUCCUUUGAUCUAUUGAUGACCACCUGUGGCGAAGGCGGUGUACCAGAACACGUUCGACGGUGAGGGAUGAAAGCUGGGGGAGCAGACCGGAUUAGAUACCCGGGUAGUCCCAGCUGUAAACGAUGCAGACUCGGUGAUGCAUUGGCUUGUGGCCAAUGCAGUGCCGCAGGGAAGCCGUUAAGUCUGCCGCCUGGGAAGUACGUACGCAAGGAUGAAACUUAAAGGAAUUGGCGGGGGAGCACAAGCCG
rnacentral:rRNA from 2 species